rnacentral:rRNA from 1 species
AGUGAACGCUGGCGGUAGGCCUAACACAUGCAAGUCGAACGGCAGCACAGUAAGAGCUUGCUCUUACGGGUGGCGAGUGGCGGACGGGUGAGGAAUACAUAGGAAUCUACUUUUUCGUGGGGGAUAACGUAGGGAAACUUACGCUAAUACCGCAUACGACCUACGGGUGAAAGCAGGGGAUCUUCGGACCUUGCGCGAUUGAAUGAGCCGAUGUCGGAUUAGCUAGUUGGCGAGGUAAAGGCCCACCAAGGCGACGAUCCGUAGCUGGUCUGAGAGGAUGAUCAGCCACACUGGAACUGAGACACGGUCCAGACUCCUACGGGAGGCAGCAGUGGGGAAUAUUGGACAAUGGGCGCAAGCCUGAUCCAGCCAUACCGCGUGGGUGAAGAAGGCCUUCGGGUUGUAAAGCCCUUUUGUUGGGAAAGAAAAGCAGCAGGUUAAUACCCCGCUGUUCUGACGGUACCCAAAGAAUAAGCACCGGCUAACUUCGUG